rnacentral:lncRNA from 1 species
GGAUGAGGGAACACCAGUGCCGCCCACUAAAAGCACCCAGCAGGGACCCCUUUAGCCAGAGCUUGUGCAACCACAACCGAGUGGCGACCUCCAAUCAUAUAAAUCAUACUGAAAUCAAAAGCAACCUUGAGAAAACGCAAAAUCAGAGACCCAUGGAUGGCUAAGAACAUGAUAGAGUCAAAGAAGCGAACCCACACAGUCUGCCAACAGAGAG